GGGGAGGUAGCUCAGUGGUAGAGUACUUGCCUAGCAUGCAUGAGGCCCUGGGUUCAAUCCCCAGCACCA
rnacentral:tRNA from 1 species